rnacentral:rRNA from 1 species
GCACAAGCGGUGGAUGAUGUGGAUUAAUUCGAUGCAACGCGAAAACCUUACCUACCCUUGACAUGUCUGGAAUGCCGAAGAGAUUUGGCAGUGCUCGCAAGAGAACCGGAACACAGGUGCUGCAUGGCUGUCGUCAGCUCGUGUCGUGAGAUGUUGGGUUAAGUCCCGCAACGAGCGCAACCCUUGUCAUUAGUUGCUACAUUUAGUUGGGCACUCUAAUGAGACUGCCGGUGACAAACCGGAGGAAGGUGGGGAUGACGUCAAGUCCUCAUGGCCCUUAUAGGUGGGGCUACACACGUCAUACAAUGGCCGGUACAAAGGGCUGCCAACCCGCGAGGGGGAGCCAAUCCCAUAAAACCGGUCGUAGUCCGGAUCGCAGUCUGCAACUCGACUGCGUGAAGUCGGAAUCGCUAGUAAUCGUGGAUCAGAAUGUCACGGUGAAUACGUUCCCGGGUCUU